rnacentral:rRNA from 1 species
GAUCCUGCUCAGAUUGAACGCUGGCGGCAGGCUUAACACAUGCAAGUCGAACGGUAACAGGAGAAAGCUUGCUUUCUUGCUGACGAGUGGCGGACGGGUGAGUAAUGCUUGGGAAUCUGGCUUAUGGAGGGGGAUAACGACGGGAAACUGUCGCUAAUACCGCGUAGAGUCGAGAGACGAAAGUGCGGGACCGCAAGGCCGCAUGCCAUAGGAUGAGCCCAAGUGGGAUUAGGUAGUUGGG